GAUCCCCUCAUCCCCUACCAAAGGGCCCUUCUCACUCUUCUGGGACAAAAUCGAGAGAGACGAAAAGCUUCAUUUACUGACAGGGUGGCAAAUGCUCUCAGGUCUGCAGCUGAGGUUCAGCUCCCCAGUUAGGACAUUUUGCUUCAGUUCUGUUACAGGGCACCUGUGACCUGUGUGGAGAGAUAAAGCUGCUUUUGGCCAAAGCAUCGUUCAGUUCAGAGUGAGCACUGCAAAACAUGUCAGAGAACAAAAUAGGUGUCCUGGUUUUGCAGCUCUGCCUGGAAAAGGGUUAGAUACAGCUUUUAUGGCCAGACCUUCAGACUGUGGUUUCCACUGAGAGCAUCCUGGUACAUGUGUAUCAUGCUGAUGCUGGGUUUCUGCCUGGUGCUGCCUUUGUGCCAUGAGGACUUCCACAAGCUCCUAACUGCUGUCAAGCACAUCCAGAAGGUCCUUUGGCAGCUAACAGUCCUGAGGAAGAGAGGCCAUCAGGAAACCUGCUGAAGACCUGGAGGAAGCAAGAGGUGACCAAAGUCUGGAGAAGUGUUCAUUAAGAGGUGCUGGGAGUUACCAUAUGGCAAAAUCUAAACUUCCAUAGAGACACAAGCACUGGAGAUAGGAUCCAGCCCAUUCCCUGGAGAUGGCUCCAGUAAUGAUAAGUGUAUCUGGAUCAUCCAGGACCAUUCUUCAUAGCCAAGGAUCUUGAGACAUAAGUCACCAGUCUUCCUUCAAGAAGGAUCAGCUAAACAGGAUACAGCCAUGUGGCAGCCCUGGAGUCCAUGCAGUCCAGGAGGACCCUUUCUGUGGUUCAGCUGCAUGGAUAUGGAUAUGUGUUGCUUGAAGGCAAAGCAAGCAAAUUCAAAUUUUCCUGGAAGUAGGCAUGUUCUCACUUUGGCUCCAUCACCAACAGGUCUUACAGGCAUAUCCAUCCAGUGUAUCAGAUGGGAGGUGAUACUCAUGUGGAAGU